rnacentral:lncRNA from 1 species
GGAAAAUUACCAUGAUCCUAAGAAGCUGAGGUCAUCAAGCGGAGUAGGAGGUAGAUUUCCUAUCCAGGAGCAGUGAGCCAAAUUAAAUGCACAGAAAUUAGACCUUAACAAUGUCAAUAACCUCCAACAAGCAUAGACUCGCAGUUGAAAAGAACACACCUGGAUUUCAAAUGUUUCACAGAAAAACAGAGGUGAAGAAGGAGGUUGAAUCAACUAUAAUUUCUUCUACAACAGCAUCAUUACUUACUUUGAGUUUACCUUUCAAGUAGAUUGUCUCCAGAAGAAGGAAGUCCUAUCAAUUAAACAUGACUCUCAAGAGAAAAACACAAUGCGUAUAAGUGAUUUUAAACAGAAUAUAGCAUCAAGAAGUAGAAAUUGCCCAAGACCCUGUUUUAUCCUGCACUUUCCCAUUACUUUGGUAAUCAACAGUUGGUUGAGGCUGGGUGCCGUGGUUCACACCUAUAAUCCCAGAACUUUGGGAGGCUAAGGCAAGAGGAUCUCUUGAGCCUGGAAGUCCGAGACCGGGCUGGAUAACAAAACAAGACCCCAUCACUACAAAAAAAAAAAAAAAAAAAAAAGUCAGUUGAGGAUCAACAGCGGAGUCCAACACUUCUGGACCCCUUAAAUGUCAUGUUUUCUACAUAAUGAUUUUUGCUUGCAAAAGUCACCAACUGCAUCUUUACUAAUAUGGCUCCAGCUCCC